rnacentral:rRNA from 1 species
GACGAACGCUGGCGGCGUGCUUAACACAUGCAAGUCGAACGGAAAGGCCCUGCUUUUGUGGGGUGCUCGAGUGGCGAACGGGUGAGUAACACGUGAGUAACCUGCCCUUGACUUUGGGAUAACUUCAGGAAACUGGGGCUAAUACCGGAUAGGAGCUCCUGCUGCAUGGUGGGGGUUGGAAAGUUUCGGCGGUUGGGGAUGGACUCGCGGCUUAUCAGCUUGUUGGUGGGGUAGUGGCUUACCAAGGCUUUGACGGGUAGCCGGCCUGAGAGGGUGACCGGCCACAUUGGGACUGAGAGACGGCCCAGACUCCUACGGGAGGCAGCAGUGGGGAGUAUUGCACAAUGGGCGGAAGCCUGAUGCAGCGACGCCGCGUGCGGAAUGACGGCCUUCGGGUUGUAAACCGCUUUCGCCUGUGACGAAGCGUGAGUGACGGUAAUGAGUAAAGAAGCACCGGCUAACUACGUG